AGCGAACGCUGGCGGCAGGCUUAACACAUGCAAGUCGAACGCCAUCUUCGGAUGGAGUGGCAGACGGGUGAGUAACGCGUGGGAACGUACCCUUUGGUUCGGAAUAUUCUCGGGAAACUGGGAGCAAUACCGGAUAAGCCCUACGGGGGAAAGAUUUAUCGCCAAAGGAGCGGCCCGCGUCAGAUUAGGUAGUUGGUGGGGUAAAGGCCUACCAAGCCUACGAUCUGUAGCUGGUCUGAGAGGAUGAUCAGCCACACUGGGACUGAGACACGGCCCAGACUCCUACGGGAGGCAGCAGUGGGGAAUCUUUGGACAAUGGGCGCAAGCCUGACCCAGCCAUGCCGCGUGCAGGAAGAAGGCGUUAUGCGUUGUAAACUACUUUUAUACGGGAAGAAAAAUACUACGUGUAGUAUACUGACGGUACCGUAAGAAUAAGGAUCGGCUAACUCCGUG
rnacentral:rRNA from 1 species